rnacentral:rRNA from 2 species
UGGGGAAUAUUGCACAAUGGGCGAAAGCCUGAUGCAGCGACGCCGCGUGAGGGAUGACGGCCUUCGGGUUGUAAACCUCUUUCAGCAGGGAAGAAGCGAAAGUGACGGUACCUGCAGAAGAAGCGCCGGCUAACUACGUGCCAGCAGCCGCGGUAAUACGUAGGGCGCAAGCGUUGUCCGGAAUUAUUGGGCGUAAAGAGCUCGUAGGCGGCUUGUCACGUCGGGUGUGAAAGCCCGGGGCUUAACCCCGGGUCUGCAUCCGAUACGGGCAGGCUAGAGUGUGGUAGGGGAGAUCGGAAUUCCUGGUGUAGCGGUGAAAUGCGCAGAUAUCAGGAGGAACACCGGUGGCGAAGGCGGAUCUCUGGGCCAUUACUGACGCUGAGGAGCGAAAGCGUGGGGAGCGAACAG